GGAGGGUGACACUGGGGAAAGCAGGCAGCUUGCGUUAUUACGCUGACAUUCAGCCUACACGGUCAGGUCUGUGAUAAUACUGAUGUUCAGGCUCCACGUCAGGUCCGUUAUUACGCUGACAUUCAGCCUACACGGUCAGGUCUGUGAUCAUACUGAUGUUCAGGCUCCACGUCAGGUCCGUUAUUACGCUGACAUUCAGCCUACACGGUCAGGUCUGUGAUCAUACUGAUGUUCAGGCUCCACGUCAGGUCCAUUAUUACGCUGACAUUCAGCCUACACAGUCAGGUCUGUGAUAAUACUGAUGUUCAGGCUCCACGUCAGGUCCGUUAUUACGCUGACAUUCAGCCUACACGGUCAGGUCUGUGAUCAUACUGAUGUUCAGGCUCCACGUCAGGUCCGUUAUUACGCUGACAUUCAGCCUACACAGUCAGGUCUGUGAUAAUACUGAUGUUCAGGCUCCACGUCAGGUCCGUUAUUACGCUGACAUUCAGCCUACACGGUCAGGUCUGUGAUCAUACUGAUGUUCAGGCUCCACGUCAGGUCCGUUACUACGCUGACAUUCAGGCUAUAGUUCAGGUACAUCAUUACGCUGAAAUUCCGCUACAUGUCAGGUCUCUGAUCACGUUCAUGUUCAGGCCACAUGUUGGGUUUGUGAUCACACUCAUUUCUGAUAUAAUGGCUUAUGUGUGUAAACAUUAAGAAAAAUAAUGGAUACAGUUGGAUGUUACUACAUUUUCUUCGUAUCAUUCCCAGAUGACUUAAUGUUAGGUAAAUUUAAGUUGCGGCACAUCUGCGGAUCCUUGAGCAAGGCCCUUAACCUCCAGCUCCCUGGGCGCCCCAAGGUGGCUGCCCUUCACAGACAGCUUACUCUACAAAGAGCAAGUUGAGGGAGGCGUAAAAAUCACUUCCCCAAGGGGAUCAAUAAAUAUCAAUUAUUAUU